AUUGAACGCUGGCGGCAGGCCUAACACAUGCAAGUCGAGCGAGCGGCGGACGGGUGAGUAAUGUAUGGGGACUGCCCGAUAGAGGGGGAUAACUACUGGAAACGGUGGCUAAUACCGCAUACUGUCGGAUAACCCAUAUGGGAUUAGCUAGUAGGUAAGGUAAUGGCUUACCUAGGCGACGAUCCCUAGCUGGUCUGAGAGGAUGAUCAGCCACGCUGGGCCUGAGACCAGGCCCAGACUCCUACGGAGGCAGCAGUGGGGAAUAUUGCAGAAUGGGGGCGAGUCACAUGCAGCCAUGCGGCGUGUAUGAAGAGUGCCAUAGGUUUGUAGAGAACUUUCAGUCGGGGGGCGUUACCGACAGAAGAAGCACCGGCUAACUCCGUGCCAGCCGCCGCGGUAAUUC
rnacentral:rRNA from 1 species